rnacentral:rRNA from 1 species
AUUGAACGCUGGCGGCAUGCUUUACACAUGCCAGUCGAACGGCAGCGCGGGCUUCGGCCUGGCGGCGAGUGGCGAACGGGUGAGUAAUGCAUCGGAACGUGCCCAGUAGUGGGGGAUAGCCCGGCGAAAGCCGGAUUAAUACCGCAUACGACCUGAGGGUGAAAGCGGGGGACCGAAAGGCCUCGCGCUAUUGGAGCGGCCGAUGUCGGAUUAGCUAGUUGGUGGGGUAAAGGCUUACCAAGGCGACGAUCCGUAGCUGGUCUGAGAGGACGACCAGCCAAACUGGGACUGAGACACGGCCCAGACUCCUACGGGAGGCAGCAGGGGGGAAUUUUGGAAAAUGGGGGCAAACCUGAUCCAGCCAUGCCGCGGGCGGGAAGAAGGCCUUCGGGUUGUAAACCGCUUUUGUUCGGGAAGAAAUCCUCUGGGCUAAUACCCCGGGGGGAUGACGGUACCGGAAGAAUAAGCACCGGCUAACUACGUG